rnacentral:rRNA from 1 species
GCUAAAAACCUAGCCCAACCAGACAUGAAUUUCACUUAGUCAACUAAAACCCCUUAAUAAAUCAUUUUAACACUUUAGUAAAGGAGAUUGAAAAAUUCUUUGGAGCUAUAACAAUAGUACCGCAAGGGAAAGGUGAAAUAUUUAAUGAAAAAUUUUUAAGCACAAAAAAGUAAAGACUCCACCUUGUACCUUUUGCAUCAUGGUUUAACUAGUCUAACCAGGCAAAACGUAUUUCAGUUUGGCUCCCCGAAACUAAGUGAGCUACUUCAGGGCAGCUAAUAGAGCAAACCCGUCCCUGUAGCAAAAGAGUGGGAUGACCCUUAAGUAGCGGUGACAGACCUAACGAACUUAGUGAUAGCUGGUUACUCAAAAAACGGAUCUAAGUCCAACCUGAAACUUAAUAUAGUUUAUCAAAACAACCACCUACUUUCAGCGUAAUUCAAAUAAGGUACAGCCUAUUUGAAACAGGAUACAACCUAAACUUAUGGAUAAGACCAGCCGAAUAAACAACCAAGUGGGCCUAAAAGCAGCCAUCUUUAAAAUUGCGUCAAAGCUUAAUUGUUUAUGCGCUAAAUUACUUCAUUAUAAUUCCAAUCCUACCCUAAUAUUGAGUAAUUCUAUAAGAUUAUAGAAAAUUUUAUGUUAAAACUAGUAACAAGAAGUAGACCCUUCUCUUAAAUGUAAAUGUAAAUCAGAAAGGACAAACCACUGAUAUUUAACAUUCUUGAACCCAAAACAGCAACCAACCAAGAAAACUCUGUUUUAAUCCCUGUUAACCUUACACAAGAACAUUUUAAGAAAGAUUAAAAGAAAAAGAAGGAACUCGGCAAAUGUUAACCCCGCCUGUUUACCAAAAACAUCGCCUCUUGAAUCUUUAUAAGAGGUCCAGCCUGCCCAGUGACUUUGUUCAACGGCCGCGGUAUCCUAACCGUGCGAAGGUAGCGUAAUCACUUGUUCUUUAAAUGAGGACUAGUAUGAACGGCACCACGAGGGUUAUGCUGUCUCCCUUUUCUAAUCAGUUAAACUAAUCUCCCCGUGAAGAAGCGAGGAUAAGCAUAUAAGACGAGAAGACCCUAUGGAGCUUUAAACAAUAUAGCAUUUAUCAUAAAAAUUCUGACUUGCGAGUCCAUUCUACAACAGAUUAUUUGACUAUAAGUUUUUGGUUGGGGUGACCGCGGAACAUAACAUAACCUCCACGUUGCAAGAAUUUACUUCUAAACUAAGAACCACAGCUCUAAGAAUCAAUACCUUGACAUCAAUUGACCCAAUACAUUUGAUCAACGAACCAAGUUACCCUAGGGAUAACAGCGCAAUCCACUUCAAGAGCCCCUAUCGACAAGUGGGUUUACGACCUCGAUGUUGGAUCAGGGUUUCCCAGUGGUGCAGCCGCUAUCA